GCAGGGCUCUGUGUAACUGCCCCCUUGCCCCCCUAAGCUUGCCACUUCUAGUGGUGAAGUAUCUCUGGGCUCUACUUUGGGAACUACCUUUGGACCUAGAAUCACGUGCUUUUUUCCUCCCUUGACGUAGUAAACCACUUUUCCAAAGCUGAUGCAUCUCUAUCAGCAGCAGAAUUAAGUCUGAUGAACCAGGCGGGGAGAUGGGAAUGAUCAAGCUGGAAAGUACCACGUGGGGUUCAAAGAAAGGUGUGAUUCUGCAGUCAGAACAGAGCCUUUCUCUGGCUUCUAAACUGGCCCUGACCUGAUGCAAAGAGUUGACUCAUUGGAAAAGACCCUGAUGCUGGGAAAGAUUGAGAGCAGGCGGAGAAGGGGGUGACAGAGAAUGAGAUGUUUGGAUGGUAUCACUGACUCAAUGGACAUGAGUUUGAGAAAAUUUAGGGAAAUGGUGAAGGACAGAGAAGCCUGGCGUGCUGCAGUCCUGGGGGUUGCAAAGAGUCAGACACAGCUUAGCAACUGAACAACAGCAACCCAGCUGUGCCAGCCUUGCGUGUGUGUGUGCGUGCACUGCACGCGUUGCUCACAUGUAUGCAUGUGUGAUGAGGGCAGACAGAUGGGCUGGACCUUGAGCGGGGUGCCAGGCCACCAAGGGUGGUGGUAGACUGGGUGGGAAGGGGCAGAGGGCCAAGCUUCGUGCCUUCCCCCUUGGCUGUCAGAAGGCAGGCCGGGCUGCCAGGCCUUGCUUUGCCAUCCAUGGCUCAAGGGAAAAGAAUUGGGGUUGGUGAUAGAAAAAUUAGGGUGGUUUCCAAGCACAAAAUUUCACUGGAAGAGGCCAGAUCGGGUGUGUGGGAGGGGAGUUUUGAGGUGGCGGGUCUCCUGGGGAUUCCCUAGAGACCACAAGACAGGCAUUGGAGGGCUAUGUGCCCCUGGCACAGCUUUGUCUCCUGGGACACCGAGACCUGAGAUGGCAGUGAGCAGGGAAGACCUGGGUCCAGACCCCGGGCCUCCGUCAGGGGAGCCCUGGCUCCGCGCUCAGUCUCUUGUAAGUCACAGCGAAGGGUGGGUGACCUUCUUUCUGACAGCUCUCCCCUCGAGGGGCUGGGUUGCUUCCAGGCCACCUGGGCAGUCCCACUGCCACCUGCACACGGCGCUCUCCCAGGAGGCAGUCUAGCCCUGGGCCGGGCCUGCCCGGGUCGCACCUGGACUUCGCUCCGUGUUAGCCAGGACGGUGUUGCAGUCACAACCCCCCCAAAUCCCGACGACCUAGAUCCGUCCCAGUGUCAGGGUGUCCUCGCUGCUGCUCGUCCACGCAGGUCAGCUAGGGGCCCAGACCCAGGCCCAGGGGACAGCCCCACGGCUCUGGCAGAAGAAAGGGGACUCUGGACACCCUCACACCAGCCGUGGAUCGCUCUGCCCAGGAGGGAAGCCGUCAGCUCUGCUCACAGCUAGCUCACUGGCCUGACUGUCACCUGCCCUGCUCAGUGAGGGGGCCUGGAAGUGCCCAGAAGACAGAGAGCCUGAACUGGGCAGUGACGGCCCCAGUGACCAGCACACCGCUCAUCAGCUGUGUGACCACGGGCCAGGUGCCAUCUGGGCCUGUGUUUCCCCCUCUAGGAAAUGGAGAGAAGAUGGUCUCCUGCCUCCAGAGCUGCCAUGAGGACCAGCAUGGAGCCCCGGCAACUCGGAAGGCAUCUCUGAGCCAGAGCCCCGGCGGCCUGGCUCAGCCACACGGGGAAGGCCUUUCCGAGCCAAGCGUGGAGCCCAGGUCCUCACACAGCGGCCUCUGUCCGCCCGGCUGAGCACGCUCAAGGCCCGGCCCCCGCACUACUGUCACGGGACCAGUGGCUUCACUUCUCUGGACCCAGGGACGGGGCGGGCAGAAGAAGCUAGUUGGUUGAGACCAUGGGAUCUGUCAUCCAGGCCUGGAGCGGGGCUGGGCAGGGAGGCUCCCCUGUACCCUGGCUUCCUCUGGGUGGGCUUCUCACGGGAGACAGCCACCCCACUCUGAACUGAAGGGCGGCCUGAAAUUGGCAAGGCAUCUCAAGUGGCUGGGCGGAGCCACCUAGGCUCUGCUGCCUCAGGAGACACGGUGCAGUCACAUGGCCUUUUCCAGUUGGGUUUGGCCACACCUGGUUUGCCCCCUCCCACCCCCACACCCCACAGAAGCAUCAGGACCGGAGUCCCGGGGUGGCUUAAGGGCUCUGGAUGGGUGGCAUGAACAGCUACAACUCUCAGCAUAGAAAGAACGGCGAGACCCCAUCACCUUGGGUGCAUUUUCAAUGAAAGUAACUUAAUUAAAACAACAGCAUAAGUAUUGUUGAACUGAACUGAUCAUUUACUAAUCAUAAGCCUUUAAAGACUCUUGUUAUUUAGUUGCUCAGUUGUGUCCGAUUCUUUGUGACCCCAUGGACUGUAGUCCGCCAGGCUCCUUUGUCCAUGGAAUUCUCCAGGCAAGGUGUACCAUGUCAAGGAAUCCGGGUACCUAGUUACAACUGGUACUUUUGUUCUGUUGAAGCCUCGCGAUUAUCAACAACUGUAACUAAAGCUUAGUUUUCAGUAGCCCCAGGACACCUGUUCCCGGCAAAGCCCUGGACCCUCCUUCCACGGGGCUCCUGCAGGACUCUAGACCAUCCUUCUGCUUUGAGAAGUGUUGGGUUCUCUCCUGACCCGUCCUGAGAACUGCC
ensembl:lncRNA